UAAGGAAUAUUGGACAAUGGGCGGGAGCCUGAUCCAGCCAUGCCGCGUGAAGGAUGAAGGCGCUCAGCGUUGUAAACUUCUUUUGGACGGGAACAAUAUCCCCGACUUGUCGGGGCUUGAGGGUACCGUCAGAAUAAGCACCGGCUAACUCCGUGCCAGCAGCCGCGGUAAUACGGAGGGUGCAAGCGUUAUCCGGAAUCACUGGGUUUAAAGGGUGCGUAGGCGGUCUUGUAAGUCAGUCGUGAAAUCGCUGGGCUCAACCCAUGCAAUUGCGAUUGAUACUGCUAGACUUGAAUGGGGUUAAGGCAGGCGGAAUGUGGCAUGUAGCGGUGAAAUGCUUAGAUAUGCCAUAGAACACCGAUUGCGAAGGCAGCCUGCUGGGCCUUUAUUGACGCUGAGG
rnacentral:rRNA from 1 species